ACAGGGGACGGACAGGGGAUGGAGAGCGCCCUGCGGAGGGACAGAGGACAGAGCAGGGGUCAGCGCUGACCGCACCGAGACUGGCCACCCCCACACCUACCUACGUGCGGCACAGCUCACACGGACCCACGCACACCUGGGAUGUACAGCUACCCCUAGACACACGUGGCUGCUGCACAGGCACACCUGCACACACAGGUGCAGCCAGCCGUGCACACCUGCGCGGCUCCCGGCAUACAGGUAGCCCGUCACACCUGAGCGCUGCACGGUGCGUUCACACACCCCUGCACGCUUUUUGGGACACGCAGGUACCCGGACAUGCACCAGCGCGGCACGGACACACCUGCACACACACACGUGGGAACACCUUCCGGGAUGUACAGGUGUGUCUUGGGGCAAAGAUAAAUGAAGGUUCACAGACUUCAAAGACAUUCCUACAAACAUCACCUCCCACCACCUCCCUCACAAUGCCUUGGGUCUCUUACCCAGACUUUUCUCAGUAAUCGCUGGCCAUGUGGAACGACACAAGAAGCAGAGAGAAAUGAUAAGCAGCUGUUGAAAAGCAAGCAAUCACUCAUUACAAGACACCCCUUGGAACAGUACGCCGGCCAGAGCUUUAUUUUCAACCAAAAACCAAGAGCAACAGCAAUGAUGUGUGUGCAUGUGUGUGACUGAUACACUGCAGUACCAAAUCACAGCAUACAAAGUUUGCCAAUAAAUUAAGGAGUGAAAAAACAAACACAGUGCAUACCUAAAGAUCAUCAGUACAUAAGUGAAACACAGCCUAAGUAGAAGUAUUUGCAUAUCCUCUAGCUGUUUUAACAUUGCCCUUUCAAAGCUAACCAAACCAUUCUUGCUCUGUGCAGACUAUCAUAAAAGCACUGGGCUAAAUCGUAGCUUCACCCCAGAGACAAAUCCCUCGUAGGGGCAGGAAGGCAGGUCACACCCUGAGAAUCAACACUUGCCUUCCUGUGUACCCCUGGUGCAGCCAGGAGGCGUGGCAGGCACUCCUGGAUCACUGACACAGCUCCAGGGCUCGGGCAGCACUGAGGACACUGCACUGGCUGUGUCUCCCCAUGGAAUGCUGCCCCUGUGCAGGGUUUGAGGGGGUACCUUACUUGCACACAGUGUGCAUCACUGAGUUGCAGCCCAAGCUUAUUCCUGCUACUGCUUUAUCAUUGGUUUCAUCUGGACCUUAAACAUCCAUCUAUCAAUAAAUAAAAUCAUUGGUUUAGCAAGCAUAAUAAAAUUACACCUCCCACUGGUAACUCUGAGAAGUUCUCUGUCUUACCCCCUACACAAGCCUCAAGAAAAUGACUUUCUUUUCCCUCAGGCUCAGUGAGGUUUCAAGUAACAAUUUUCAGUACUGCUUGGACAAGACACAGGCUUGGUUUGGAACCCUGAUUUUGCCUACAGGGUUAAAACAUUUCCACACUUCUACACUCAACUGUAUCAAGUCCACGACUGUGCCAUUUUCACCUGUGAGCAGCAGAAGAGGGAACUAACAGUACUUGCUGUUAUUUCCUCUCCAGGUGACUGAAACAGUCCUUUUACAAAGCCUAUCAACCUAACCCAGCUAAAAUGAAAAGCAAAAAUGUCACUCAAGUCAGAACCGAAGCCUGUGUGUAUCAAGUCUCACAUCACCAGUUCUUAUCCACAGCCACUUGCUCUAACAAACCUCCUAUAAACACAGCCUUGACUUCCUCCUCCUACAGACCAGGACAGAACAGUCUGAGAUAAGCCAUAUCUUCCUCCAACUGAGUACUUAUAAGGCAC